ACCAGACUCCUACGGGAGGCAGCAGUGAGGAGUAUUGGUCAAUGGCCGAGAGGCUGAACCAGCCAAGUCGCGUGAGGGAUGACGGCCCUGCGGGUUGUAAACCUCUUUUGUCGGGGAGCAAAGAGAGUCACGUGUGGCUCAUUGAGAGUACCCGAAGAAAAAGCAUCGGCUAACUCCGUGCCAGCAGCCGCGGUAAUACGGAGGAUGCGAGCGUUAUCCGGAUUUAUUGGGUUUAAAGGGUGCGUAGGCGGGAUGCCAAGUAAGCGGUAAAAAUGCGGGGCUCAACGCCGUCGAGCCGUUGAAACUGGCGUUCUUGAGUGGGCGAGAAGUAUGCGGAAUGCGUGGUGUAGCGGUGAAAUGCAUAGAUAUCACGCAGAACUCCGAUUGCGAAGGCAGCAUACCGGCGCCCUACUGACGCUGAGGCACGAAAGCGUGGGUAUCGAACAGGAUUAGAUACCCGAGUAGUU
rnacentral:rRNA from 1 species